UACAGAGGGUGCGAGCGUUAAUCGGAAUUACUGGGCGUAAAGCGUGCGCAGGCGGUUCGUUAAGUCAGAUGUGAAAGCCCCGGGCUCAACCUGGGAACUGCAUUUGAAACUGGCGGGCUUGAGUGUGGCAGAGGGGGGUGGAAUUCCGCGUGUAGCAGUGAAAUGCGUAGAGAUGCGGAGGAACACCGAUGGCGAAGGCAGCCCCCUGGGCCAACACUGACGCUCAGGCACGAAAGCGUGGGGAGCAAACAGG
rnacentral:rRNA from 1 species